rnacentral:piRNA from 1 species
GAAAACUGUCCUUACGUUGUCUCCGGUGU